AGUUGGGUUUGAUCUUAAAAGGCAAACAACACUCGCGGCCUUCGAGUUUAGACCCAUUAAACUAAAGUAUUGUUGCUUGCUCCCCCUUUUCUUCCCACUGCUUAUAAAAUCGCUCUCUGUAUGCCAUCUAGGGUUUCCUUUUCCAUACUCUCACAAAUGGCGACAGCCGCCAAUGCAAAUAUGGUGGCCAGGCACUUCCCUCUUCCGGUGGUUGGCCGCCUUUUCUUGCGGUGAAGCCAAGCGUCCUCGUGUCGAGAACGCCUUUUACGGUGGUUUCUGAUUUAGUUGUUAAGGAGGAUACAUUGAAUUGCAGAUGAAAGGCAUUGGGGAAUUGCAUGUGGGUUAGAUUGUUUUGCUCAAAGCUGUAAAUGGGAGGGUAGGGUUCGAGUCUGGUUGAAUUUGGGUGCUUUUGUAUUUAGAUCAUUCAAAAUUGAGGUUUAGGAUUUUUGAGUCAAGUUAUAAUGUAUUUCCUGAAUUUGGUCCAUUCAAGUUGAAGAUUUUUGGAUAAAUAAUAAUUUAUUGAAGUUGAUAA